GAAAUGAAUAGGUACAUUUAUAUACUUUACGAACAUUAAAUAGUUACAAACAGAGUUUCGCUUGCAUAUCUAAAAUCUGAAAUCUAUCUAAAAAUCCGAUCUCAUGGACAGUAAAGCAAAGUAUUUCAGGGAAACGUAAGACAGUAUUGUGAUAUGUCUGAAAUCUAGUACCAUAAAGUACUCACGAAGUACUUACAAUUAGUAGAACUACUCCCACGUCAAAAGCAAGAAGUCCGGAAAUACUAGCACAAUUGUUGUGAUGAUUAACAUCACAAGCACGCUCCUACC